UAUGGCUAUAUCAUGUUGAAACAUUGGUUCCCAUACAAUCACUGAAGUUAAGCAACAUCAAGCCUGGUCUGUACUUAAAUGGGUGACCACUUGAGAAUAUCAGGUACUGUAA